rnacentral:rRNA from 1 species
AUUGAACGCUGGCGGCAGGCCUAACACAUGCAAGUCGAACGGUAACAGGAAGCAGCUUGCUGCUUCGCUGACGAGUGGCGGACGGGUGAGUAAUGUCUGGGAAGCUGCCUGAUGGAGGGGGAUAACUACUGGAAACGGUAGCUAAUACCGCAUAAUGUCGCAAGACCAAAGAGGGGGACCUUCGGGCCUCUUGCCAUCGGAUGUGCCCAGAUGGGAUUAGCUUGUUGGUGGGGUAACGGCUCACCAAGGCGACGAUCCCUAGCUGGUCUGAGAGGAUGACCAGCCACACUGGGACUGAGACACGGUCCAGACUCCUACGGGAGGCAGCAGUGGGGAAUAUUGCACAAUGGGCGCAAGCCUGAUGCAGCCAUGCCGCGUGUAUGAAGAAGGCCUUCGGGUUGUAAAGUACUUUCAGCGGGGAGGAAGGGAGUAAAGUUAAUGCCUUUGCUCAUUGACGUUACCCGCAGAAGAAGCACCGGCUAACUCCGUG